rnacentral:rRNA from 1 species
ACUGCUAUCGGAUUGAUACUAAGCCAUGCGAGUCUUUGUAGCAAUACAAGGCAGACGGCUCAGUAACACGUAGUCAAUCUACCCUAUGGAUGGGGAUAACCUCGGGAAACUGAGAAUAAUACCCGAUAGAUCAUUAUGCCUGGAAUGGUUUAUGGUCGAAAUGGUUUAUCGCCGUAGGAUGGGACUGCGGUCUAUCAGCUUGUUGGUGAGGUAAUGGCCCACCAAGGCUAUAACAGAUACGGGCUCUGAGAGGAGAAGCCCGGAGAUGGGUACUGAGACACGGACCCAGGCCCUAUGGGGCGCAGCAGGCGAGAAAACUUUGCAAUGUGCGAAAGCACGACAAGGUUAAUCCGAGUGUUUUCUGCUAAAGAAAUCUUUUGUCAGUCCUAAAAACACUGAUGAAUAAGGGGUGGGCAAGUUCUGGUGUCAGCCGCCGCGGUAAAACCAGCACCUCAAGUGGUCAGGAGGAUUAUUGGGCCUAAAGCAUCCGUAGCCGGCCGUGUAGGUUUUCGGUUAAAUCUAUACGCUCAACGUAUAGGCUGCCGGGAAUACUGCACAGCUAGGGAGUGGGAGAGGUAGACGGUACUCGGUAGGAAGGGGUAAAAUCCUUUGAUCUAUUGAUGACCACCUGUGGCGAAGGCGGUCUACUAGAACACGUCCGACGGUGAGGGAUGAAAGCUGGGGGAGCAAACCGGAUUAGAUACCCGGGUAGUCCCAGCUGUAAACAAUGCAAACUCAGUGAUGCACUGGCUUGUGGCCAGUGCAGUGCCGCAGGGAAGCCGUUAAGUUUGCCGCCUGGGAAGUACGUACGCAAGUAUGAAACUUAAAGGAAUUGGCGGGGGAGCACCACAAGGGGUGAAG